AUCACCUUAAACAUGGCCUAUCCAGGCUCUGAAGCUCUCCGUCGUAAAUUCGUAGAGUCUAACAUGGGCCGUGCCCCCUCCACCCAAUUAAUUCGAGAAACCUCUGUUCAUAAGAGAUAUGUUGGCUAGAAACUACUACCUUGGCCCUUUCCGCACCCUCAAUAUUCAAAUUUAAAGCUCCGUUGUAGAACUUGGUGUGUCAUCACCUCAAAUUUAAAUUUAAAGGCUGUUGCAUCACUGUUUUAAUUCUUUGCUUGUACGGGCUUUGUUCCAUUCUUUGGUAAUACUCUCCGGCACAUGUAAAUCAGCAGGUCUUCAUCCGUGUGUAUUCAGAACCUUGGAAAUAUCAUCUUGACAUUACCAUGUUGGCUUGGUGGUUUGGGUUGGACAGAUUCAUGUGGUUGCAGAUGCUACAUUGGUGCAAAUAGUUCUAACACAAAGCUAAGCUCUACGUUUAUUUAUUUGAGGAAAUGGCUAAUGACAUAUUUCCUUUACCAGAUUUUACUUUGUUGGGUUGCGUAAAUAGAAAUGACAGUUGCAAGUUCACCUCAUGAUUGCCAUAUAAGAGAGAAAGAAAGGGUGGGCCAUGUUUGCUGUUUCACCUCUUUUAGUUCUUUUCUUUUGUAGCCGGUAGUGUAAUUUGUGUGUUCACGCUACUUACAUUUUAGGAACGUGCAUCUUUGUGUCAUUGACUUAUUUUGAUGUGGCAUAAGAUCUAUAUUUAUGGCGCUGCCUUCAAUAUGCUUGAACCCCUAUUUGCUUUCUGUUUUUUUUUUAUAUCUUCGCAGGUUUAAAAUUAUAAGAAUGGUACUACUUCUCUUUCAGCCGCCUGAAGCCUGAAGACACUUCACUCUCGGUAACUAACAUCAUUCGCCAUUAGGAGUCCGAGCAUUAUUGGUUACUUGAGGAAUCAUACUUGAAUCUCUCCGACGCAUCAUUCAAGGAUUUUCGGAGGAAACUUCCAGUUACCCGCACCCAUUACCUAUGGCAUAACACUCAUGCCAUCAGCCUUACAACACGGGACUUGACAAAAGAGCUAGCGCUAGGGAAAUGAAGCUUAUGGGGGCAGGCCACUAGGGUGCUUCCGCACAUCGGUGUAAAUCAAUAGCAUGACCUUAUUUUUGUUGGGAAGUGGCGGAUAUAUGUGCAUUCAGACUCUGACUCGCGUCACUUGUGAGAUCUUCGUCUAUUUUUAGCUUUCGAAGGAGUUCAUCUGUACCUUUUGCCUUUUGACAUUUCACACGACGUAGAUUAGAUUUUAUCAUGUAUAUUAAAAACAUAUAACUACUAUACUAUUUGGGAACAAACAUCUUUUUUGUAAGAAUUUUGAGGCCUAUCUCUGAAUUAA